AGGGCCCCUGGGUGCGGAGCAGGCGCUAAAAACAGCCAGAGGAGAUAACAAGGCCAUUGGGGGCCAGCCUCCCACCUGGACAGGACCGUGUUGGAGGCCUGCCUAGAAACGGUGCUUCUGCCAGCCUCAGCCUCGGUCCAGAGUCCAGGCCACAGCUCCAGAAGGCUGAUUCAUGCUCAGCUCUCAGGAGAAGCUGACUCACAAGGAGGAGGCAGCAUAGCCAGACACACCUGGGGUGGACCCCCAGCCCUGCCACAUACAAAUGAUGCGCCAGCAGGUGAGUCCUCCUGGCCUCAGUCUCUUCAUCUAGCAGAUGGGGAAAGGCAAAACAUCCCUUGGGAAUGCUAUUGGUACUCAGUGCCAUCAACACUGAAAUGAAAAGGGGAAUUUUUUUCCCUGCUCCUAUGCCAUGUAGAAGUUCCCAAUCCAGGGAUAGAACACGCGCCACAGCUUGACCCACUGGAGAUCUUUAACUGCUGGGCCGUCAGGGAACUCCAAAAAAAUGAGUUAAAUAGAUACCCAGCGAGUUCCCGUUGUGGCUCAGCGGAAACAAUCCAGCUAGUAUCCAUGAGGAUGCAGGUUCGAUCCCUGCCCUCACUCAGUGGGUUAAGGAUUCAGCAUUGCCAUGAGCUGUGGUGUAGGUUGCAGACGCGGCUCGGAUACAGCAUUGCUGUGGCUCUGGCGUAGGCCGGUGGCUACAGCUCCGAUUCGACCCCUAGCCUGGGAACCUCCAUAUGCCGUGGGAGCGGCCCAAGAAAUAGCAAAAAAAAAGACAAAAAAAAAAAAAGAACUCCUAUAUAUGCAUUUUUUUUCUCAUGUUAUCUUCCAUCAUGUUCUAUCCCAAAAGAUUGGAUAUAGUUCCCUGUGCUGUAUCAUACGACCUCAUAGCUUUUCCAUUCUAAAUGUAUUCGUUUGAAAUCUACCAACCCCAAACUCCCGGCCAUCCCGCUUCCUCCCUGCUCUCCCCCGUCAGAACUGAGAAGAUUUGGAGUUCCCGUCGUUGCGCAGUGGAAACGAAUCCGAUCAGGAACCAUGAGGUUGUGGGUUUGAUCCCUGGCCUCACUCAGUGGGUUAAGGAUCCGGCAUUGCCAUGAGCUGUGCAGCUGGGAUCCUGCGUUGCUGUGGCUGUGGUGUAGGCCGACAGCUGUAGCUCCGAUUAGCCCCCUAGCCUGGGAACCUCCAUAUGCUUUGGGUGUGGCCCUAACAAGCAAAAACAAAACAAAACAAGAACAACAAAAAAGAAUUGAGAAAACUGAAGCCCAGAAAACUGAAGUGAGACAAUGAGUAAGGGGUGGAGCCAAUCUCAAGCCCUGGCCUGAGCCCAGGGGCUUCCCUCAGGGAACCAACCACUGCUGUGCAAACUCUAUUGAAUAAGAAACAGCUGGGGGAGCUCCCACUGUGGUGCAAUAGAUCAAGAAACCAACUGCAGAAGUUCCCAUUGUGGCUCAGAAGUUAACAAACCUGACUAGUAUCCAUGAGGAUGUAGGUUCGAUCCCUGACCUCACUCAGUGAGUUGGGGAUCCCGCAUUGCCAUGAGCUGUGGUGUAGAUUGAAGACUUGGCUUGGAUCCUGAGUGGCUGUGCUUGAGGCUGUAGCUCCGAUUUAACCCCUAGCCUGGGAACCUCCAUACGCCACAGGUGCAGUCCUAAAAAGACAAAACAAAAAAAGAAUCCGACUCAGCGCUUGGGUCACUGCAGAGAUGUGGGUUUGAUCCCUAGGUGAGCGCGGUAUCCGUUAGAUUUGAUCCCUGGUCUGGGAACUUCCGUGUGCCACGCAUGCAGCCAUAAAAACCAACAAAAAACAGCUGCGUAACAUCCAGCUCACAAAGGGAAUGUUUUUGAAAGACUUCCACCAAAAUGGUUUAACAUGUAGUGUUUCAUCACUUGAAGUAGUAUGUGUAAGCAGCUUGGAGGAUUUCACUUACAUAAAACUCUACCUUUCAGGAAGGAUUUCAAACAAAUCCCUCCCAUUUAAGUGACCGUUUCUGCACCAAGAGAUUUAAUUCUGCUAAACCACCCUUUCUCUCUAUAUAAAUAAGUCCAAAGCUUACAGAGAGGUCACUGUGUUUCCCUCCACGUGCCAAGAAGAAGCAGAACACAGGCUGCCUCCUGGGUCUCCUUGUUUGAACUCGAAGCUCAAGAUCAGGCUCAAAUGAUCUCUAAGUCCUCUUACACCUCACAGGCAGCAAGGUCAGAGUAGUCAAGAGUUAAGAACAGCAGUUCAACACGUAUAGGCCAGGAGUUCCCUUUGUGGCUCCGUGGUUAACAAACCUGACUAGCAUCACUGAGGAUGUGGGCACGAUCCCUGGGCUUGCUCAGUGGGUUAAGGAUCCGGCGUUGCCGUGAGCUGUGGUGUCGAUUACAGACACGGCAUGGAUCUCGUGUUGCUGUGGCUGCGGCAUAGGCGGGCGGUUACAGCUCCAAUUCAACCCCUAGCCUGGGAACCUUCAUAUGCCAUGGGUGCGGCCCUAAAAGGAUUUAGAAAAAAAAAAGAGAGAGAGAGUAUAGGCCACCCCAGAGUAUAAGGCAGCUGUGUGACUUAGGGCAACUUGUUUAACCUCUCUGACCCUCAGUGGCCUCCUCUAUAAACUGAGAACAGCAUCAGUACCUAAUUCAUGGGGCUGUGGCAAGAAGUCAAUAAGGCCAUGCUUCUAAGACCUGGACAGAGUAUGGGCUUGAUAAGGAUCAGUUUUUAUUAUUACUGAAUACUAGAGAGAGUGAUAACUGUAUCCAGAAAGGUUGGGCUCCCUCCUGAAUGAAGACCCGUUUCAAGUGAGAAUCUCUGCUUGGCAGGACUUCUCAACUGUUGAGCAGACAUGCCUGAGAACCAGCCCUUCCUGGGGCAUUAUCCUGAUGCCAGCUGAGUGGAAGUCUUCCAGUGUCUGAUCCAACAUCCUUAACCUUCAGAAAAUAUCAGAGUCGGAGUUCCUAUGUUGGCUCAGUAGUAAUGAACCUGACUAGUAUCCAUGAGGAUGUGGGUUCGAUCCCUGGACUCAUUCAGUGGGUUGAGGAUCCAGCGUUACCAUGAGUAGCAGUGUAGGUCAUAGAAAUAGUUCUGAUCUGGCAUUGCUGUGGCCUGCUGUGGUACAGGCCGGCAGCUGUUAGCUCUGAUUCCACUCCUAGGCUGGGAACUUCCAUAU
rnacentral:lncRNA from 1 species